ensembl:lncRNA
GUGCUUUGCUCAACCGAGUAUCGGCGCUAAGGUAGCCACUCUUGGCUCAGAGCCUGUUGUUUAGAGCACGAAACAAAUUGACUUCUCCUCCCCCAAGUCUUUGCCUUUUGUAAUUUGCUCUGGCGUUGUUGUUUGUGUGUGACCAGCCCCAUGAUUUCACCUCGUCCUUGAGAGACCAGCGCAAGUCAACCCAAAUAAAACAUCCCGACCCUGUUCACCUCUCCCGGAGGGUCGUUUUCCUUCGAGACACGUGGACGAAGCCGUACACCGCAUUAGAAAGGCCCAUUGCUCAUCGCUCUCCCACUCGGUGUCCUGCAGCUGGGGAUUAUGGGUAAAUGUGGAUGUGACCUCAUCCUCAGGUGAUGCCUUUGGAGCCUGCUGCUCCUUACAGUCCUGCUCUUCUGUCCUCAAGAGACUUCAUGCAGACAUAAUACAGGCUUUCAUUUAAGGGCGGUGGGGCCAAGGGCGAAUCUGCUUCUCUGAGGCUUCUGUCAAAGGAACCUUAUCUAUUAUGAGUGAGUCUUUAUCUUACGUAUUUCUCUGGUGCCCUCUGUACUGUUUGAGUGGAACAAAAGAGCUCUUUGCCUAAGAAAGUGAAUUUAUUUCUGACAUUGUGGUCACUGAACUCAGCCCUCUGUGAAUUAAAUUGCCCUGGUUGUGCUCGAGGGAUCUUCUGAGUGUUAAAUGUUGUCUCGUCACCAACUGGGAUGUUUAUUGUAUUGAAUUGUGUCUAGUGUA